UGAGGAAUAUUGGUCAAUGGGCGCAAGCCUGAACCAGCCAAGCCGCGUGAAGGAUGAAUGCCCUAUGGGUUGUAAACUUCUUUUAUACGGGAAGAACUCCCCCGACGUGUUGGGGGUUGACUGUACCGUACGAAUAAGCAUCGGCUAACUCCGUGCCAGCAGCCGCGGUAAUACGGAGGAUGCGAGCGUUAUCCGGAUUUAUUAGGUAUAAAGGGUGCGUAGGCGGAUUUGUAAGUCAGGGGUGAAAUACUAUGGCUUAACUGUAGAAAUGCCGUGGAUACUGCAAGUCUUGAGUACAAGUGAGGGAGGCGGAAUGGGUGGUGUAGCGGUGAAAUGCUUAGAUAUCACACAGAACACCGAUUGCGAAGGCAGCUUACUAAACUGUAACUGACGCUGAUGCACGAAAGCAUGGGGAGCAAACA
rnacentral:rRNA from 1 species